rnacentral:rRNA from 1 species
CCCUUAGAUGUCCUGGGCUGCACGCGCGCUACACUGGAAGUUACGGAUUGAGAUACUACCUUGUCCGAAAUGGUCCGGGUAAUCACCUAAAAGCUUGUCAUAAUUGGAAUGGAUUAUUGUAACUAGUAAUCCUGAACGAGGAAUUCCUAGUAAGUCCCAGUCAACAGCUGGUACUGAUUACGUCCCUGCCCUUUGUACACACCGCCCGUCGCUACUACUGAUUGGACGUUUAAGCAAGAUUUUUAAACACUGACAGUGUGUAGUUCACGCUAUACUACAGUGAGAGGAAGAAGAUCGAGCUUACUUGUCUAGAGGAAGUAAAAGUCGUAACA